GAUGGUUGAAGCAUUUGCUGCUAAAGAAACGUUCAAAGUUCCCUUCAAAUCACAAGGCAAAGGCAGCUUCAAAACUGUUAGUUUCAAGUUCACAGCUAUUGCAGACAGAACCAGAAUUACUUUCUACAGUUCUUUUUACCACACAAAGAUCAAUGACUAUGGCGCUCUUUGUGGCCCUGUUGUUGAUGAAGUUAAGGUGACCCCUGUUGCUUAGGCUCUCUAGAAGUACUCCACAUAAAAAAGCGUUUAUCAUCGAGUUUUUGCAAUGGUCUUAUCAUACUCCCCACUUAUCAAUAGGACCAUUUUGAGGCAAUUCCUGUAUUUUACCUAUGUAAUUGCUUAAUGCUGCUGUAAG
rnacentral:misc_RNA from 1 species